rnacentral:rRNA from 2 species
AUCAAUGUGUGGGGAAAAAGAAACCACCAGGGAUUUCCUCCGUAACGGCGAAUGAAGGCGCCAAAGCUUAAAUUUGAAAUCCCCCCGGAAUUGUAAUUUUAAAAGAUUUGGGUCCGGCCGGCGGGGGUUAAGUCCACUGGAAAGUGGCGCCACAGAGGGUGACAGCCCCGUGAACCCCCUUAACGCCCUCAUCCCAAAUCUCCAAGAGUCGAGUUGUUUGGGAAUGCAGCUCUAAGUGGGUGGUAAAUUCCAUCUAAAGCUAAAUACCGGCGAGAGACCGAUAGCGAACAAGUACAGUGAUGGAAAGAUGAAAAGCACUUUGAAAAGAGAGUGAAAAAGUACGUGAAAUUGUUGAAAGGGAAGGGCUUGCAAGCAGACACUUAACUGGGCCAGCAUCGGGGCGGCGGGGAGCAAACCACCGGGGAAUGUCCCUUUGGAGGAUUAAACCCCCGCCCUUACUUCCUCACGACCCCAAGGCCUGCAAUCUAAGGAUGCUGGCGUAAUGGUUGCAAGUCCCCCGUCUU